UCCAGACUCCUACGGGAGGCAGCAGUGGGGGAUAUUGCACAAUGGGGGGAACCCUGAUGCAGCGACGCCGCGUGGGUGAAGGAGCGUUUCGGCGCGUAAAGCCCUAUCGGCAGGGAAGAAGGAGGACGGUACCUGACUAAGAAGCCCCGGCUAACUACGUGCCAGCAGCCGCGGUAAUACGUAGGGGGCAAGCGUUAUCCGGAUUUACUGGGUGUAAAGGGGGCGCAGACGGCAGCGCAAGCCAGGAGGGAAAGCCCGGGGCCCAACCCCGGGACUGCUCUUGGAACUGCGCGGCUGGAGUGCAGGAGGGGCAGGCGGAAUUCCUGGUGUAGCGGUGAAAUGCGUAGAUAUCAGGAGGAACACCGGUGGCGAAGGCGGCCUGCUGGACUGCAACUGACGUUGAGGCCCGAAAGCGUGGGGAGCAAACAGGAUUAGAUACCCUAGUAUA
rnacentral:rRNA from 1 species